AUUACCUUAUGGAGCUUCAAAGGUACUGUAAUCUAUAAAAACACUUGUUGGAGCGGGACGGUUUCCAUUUGAAAGGAUUAUACACCAGGAAGUUUCAGCUCUUGAAAUCGGGCGCUGCUUUGGGUAUUUAAACCAGCGUGAAGAUGCAGGGGCACGGUGGUUUGCAUGUAGACAGUUGUAGAUAUAGUUGAGUUGGGCAAACGUCUUCUUCGAAUCUAACAUUUGAAGGUUCGGAGAAAGUGUGCCGGUGACACUGAGUCAACGGUUAUUGUCUUUUUUGUGAGUCAAGGAUGGCGUCGGCGUGUAUGAUAUUUUCUUGUCAAUUCAUGAAUUGUCUUUUACUAACUUUCACCCUUUCCACUUGUUUAAUUGCAACUUUGAAAUUAGAACCAUGAAUUA